GGACUACAGGGGUUUCUAAUCCUGUUUGCUCCCCACGCUUUCGUACCUGAACGUCGGUGCUGGACCAGGAAGCCGCUUUCGCCACUGGUGUUCCUUCCGAUAUCUACGCAUUUCACCGCUACACCGGAAAUUCCGCUUCCCUCUUCCGCACCCUAGCCAUGCAGUCUCGAAUGCAAUUCCCAGGUUGAGCCCGGGGCUUUCACACCCGACUUACAUGACCGUCUACGUACGCUUUACGCCCAGUAAUUCCGAUUAACGCUUGCACCCUCUGUAUUACCGCGGCGGCUGGCAC
rnacentral:rRNA from 2 species